rnacentral:rRNA from 2 species
AGUCGAGCGAACUGAUUAGAAGCUUGCUUCUAUGACGUUAGCGGCGGACGGGUGAGUAACACGUGGGCAACCUGCCUGUAAGACUGGGAUAACUUCGGGAAACCGAAGCUAAUACCGGAUAGGAUCUUCUCCUUCAUGGGAGAUGAUUGAAAGAUGGUUUCGGCUAUCACUUACAGAUGGGCCCGCGGUGCAUUAGCUAGUUGGUGAGGUAACGGCUCACCAAGGCAACGAUGCAUAGCCGACCUGAGAGGGUGAUCGGCCACACUGGGACUGAGACACGGCCCAGACUCCUACGGGAGGCAGCAGUAGGGAAUCUUCCGCAAUGGACGAAAGUCUGACGGAGCAACGCCGCGUGAGUGAUGAAGGCUUUCGGGUCGUAAAACUCUGUUG